AGAGAGGGGAGAGAUGGGAAGAGAGAGGACAGAAAGAGAGGGAAGGAGAGAGUGGAGAGACAGUAGAGGGGAAGAGAGAGGACAGAAGGAAGGAGGGAAGGAGAGAGUAGAGAGAGGGGAAGGAGAGAGUAGAGAGACAGUAGAGGGGAAGAGAGAGGACAGAAGGAGAGGGAAGGAGAGAGUAGAGAGAAGGAAGGAGAGAGGACAGAAGGAGAGGGGAAGAGAGAGGACAGAAAGAGAGGGAAGGAGAGAGUAGAGAGAGGGGAAGAGAGAGGACAGAAGGAGAGGGAAGAGGGGUAGAGAGAGGACAAAGAACAGGAGAGAGUAGACACCUCCGAGGUAGAUAACAGGUAUAUACUAAUAUACUAUACUUGGCCUGUAUCAUUCUAACACGUUGAUUUGUCUCUUAAUAAGACCUGUUCUAGUGCCAAUGGACCUGCUAUUCAGUGGAAGGCAGGAAAAGAGAAGUAUCUUUCUGAAACACCUUCAAGGACAGCAGAGAAUAACAGGAAAGGAGCUGGGAGAGGAUGUGUAUUCACCCCCCUCUCUGUGUCCCCUACAUGAGAUUACAGGACCUAAAACGACUUCAUACAAGUACAAAGUUCUGUUCUGUGUUCCCAGCUUAUUUAUUUAGGCAGAGCAAACAGUUUGAUAAAAAAUAUGCACUGUAGUCACAGGUAUGCACUGUAGUCACAGGUAUGCACUGUAGUCACAGGUAUGCACUGUAGUCACAGGUAUGCACUGUAGUCACAGAUACAGUGCCUUGCGAAAGUAUUCGGCCCCCUUGAACUUUGCGACCUUUUGCCACAUUUCAGGCUUCAAACAUAAAGAUAGAAAACUGUAUUUUUUUGUGAAGAUUCAACAACAAGUGGGACACAAUCAUGAAGUGGAACGACAUUUAUUGGAUAUUUCAAACUUUUUUAACAAAUCAAAAAUUGGGCGUGCAAAAUUAUUCAAAAAAGUAUUAUUAUUAUUAUAUAGUAGUGGGGUAGUGUAGUGUGGGUAGUGUAUUGUAGUGGGGGUAGUGUAGUGGGGGUAGUGUAGUGUAGUGGGGGGUGGGUAGUGUAGUGGGGGUAGUGUAGUGUGGGUAGUGUAGUGUAGUGGGGGUAGUGUAGUGUGGGUAGGGUAGUGUAGUGGGGGUAGUG
ensembl:lncRNA